rnacentral:lncRNA from 1 species
AUGGUACUUGAGCUAGAGAGGAGGAUUGGCUAUCCAACCAUGGCCAUAUGUGAUUUAUGGUAGCCGUGAUUGGAUGUAGACUCAUGUAAUAUAUGAAGAUAUAUGUCUCAUGAAACUUGCUGGAGUCCAUCUAAUUAUAGUUGCCGUGCUAUUACGAAUGGCCACGAUUGUAAAGCCAUCCAUCUUCAAUUUAGAUAUGAACGGGAGAGGAUCCCGAUUCCUCGAUCAACCUCCCACGCCCGUGGCUGCAAGGUUUAGAUCAUGAACUGUUUCUACCGUGCUAUCCUUUCAAAGCCUUUCAAAGCCUGAUUUUACUCAGAAACUUGAACCAUUAAAUUUUGAGUCCAACUAUAUAUGAAUCAUUCCCUAUGAACUAAAUAUUUAAUUUAAAACUAAACCUUAUCUCAAGAGUGGAAAGAUUUAACUAUGCAAACCACAUCUAUUGUGGAACAGUUGGUGAUUGAGAGAAGCCAAUCUAUUCCAUAAUGUACAGACGGUAGGGGACCCGGCAAAUAAAUUAUAUGUAUUAAUUUGUUCAAGCACUCCAAAAAUAAGGGAUAAUUGAAGCAGAAGCUCGGUCGAAUAAAAAUAAAAUUAGAAAUAA